CAGCAGCCGCGGGAAUGCGGAGGGAGCUAGCGUUGUUCGGAAUCACUGGGCGUAAAGCGCACGUAGGCGGCUAUUCAAGUCAGGGGUGAAAGCCCGGGGCUCAACCCCGGAACUGCCUUUGAAACUAGAUAGCUUGAAUCUUGGAGAGGCGAGUGGAAUUCCGGGUGUAGAGGUGAAAUUCGUAGAUAUUCGGAAGAACACCAGUGGCGAAGGCGACUCGCUGGACAAGUAUUGACGCUGAGGUGCGAAAGCGUGGGGAGCAAACAGGAUUAGAUACCCGAGUAGUCCCUGUCUCUUAUAC
rnacentral:rRNA from 1 species